UAGGGAAUCUUCGGCAAUUGGGGCAACCCUGACCGAGCAACGCCGCGUGAGUGAAGAAGGUUUUCGGAUCGUAAAGCUCUGUUGUAAGAGAAGAACGUGUGUGAGAGUGGAAAGUUCACACAGUGACGGUAACUUACCAGAAAGGGACGGCUAACUACGUGCCAGCAGCCGCGGUAAUACGUAGGUCCCGAGCGUUGUCCGGAUUUAUUGGGCGUAAAGCGAGCGCAGGCGGUUUAAUAAGUCUGAAGUUAAAGGCAGUGGCUUAACCAUUGUUCGCUUUGGAAACUGUUAAACUUGAGUGCAGAAGGGGAGAGUGGAAUUCCAUGUGUAGCGGUGAAAUGCGUAGAUAUAUGGAGGAACACCGGUGGCGAAAGCGGCUCUCUGGUCUGUAACUGACGCUGAGGCUCGAAAGCGUGGGGAGCAAACAGG
rnacentral:rRNA from 1 species